AACGAACGCUGGCGGCGUGCCUAACACAUGCAAGCCGUGCGAGAAAGUUCCUUCGGGAGCGAGUAAAGCGGCGCACGGGUGAGUAACACGUAGGUAACCUGCCCCCCAGUCUGGAACAACUAGAGGAAACUCUAGCUAAUGCCGGAUGAGACCACGAUCCCUUCGGGGGUUGCGGCCAAAGAUGGCCUCUACUUGUAAGCUAUCGCUGAGGGAUGGGCCUGCGGGCAUUAGCUUGUUGGUGUGGUAACGGCUCACCAAGGCUGUGAUGGCUAGCUGGUCUGAGAGGAUGACCAGCCACACUGGGACUGAGACACGGCCCAGACUCCUACGGAGGCAGCAGUGGGAAUA
rnacentral:rRNA from 1 species